rnacentral:sRNA from 15 species
GAAUGCAUUGUACUUAAACUUGUGACCAUGGUGGAGUUCCAGAUUCAUGUAUGCCUUCUGUGCACGAACGAUGGAUUCUCCCACCGGGAUAUAUCUCUUGCAUUUAAGGUCAUUCG